rnacentral:lncRNA from 12 species
AACUAAACUACGUGACUGUAUAAUAGUUUGCAUGUGCAUGUCAGCACAGUGUGUGGCUAGCUGCUGGUUUUGGGAACCAUUGUGCAUGUAUCAAUGCUUCUGUAUCACCUACCAAGCAGAGAACAGCUGAGCAAGGAUGGAGAAACAAAGUGCGGUCAUCAGAGAAGACUGCAGGCAACAAAGAAGGAGAAACUUCCUGAUGAAGGAUUAGUGAGGAAGCGGGAGUGCCACAGACAACAUGCUUAGCCCAAAGUGGUUAGUCUGAUCAGCCUUCCACAGGAUCAUGCAAGAGAUCUUUAUCACUUCACAUCAGGGCACAGCUAGCCUGAAGUGAGUUUCAGCCUGAGGUGCCAGGAGCACGUGCCAAGUUACUGCUUACUGAUGCUGUGGACCAGAAGUCCCCACCAAAGAAAAGCGUCACUAAGCUCACAGAUUAAUGCUAAAUGCUUAUUUGGCACCAGGUCAUGUUUCUCUGUGUGGAAGAGGGUGGCUGGGGUUAUGUUUGAUCUUUUAGAAGUCCAAUAUGGGCAGAGGGAGAUCUCUUCUCAGUCAGUCACAACAGCAGCUGCUGGAGAGAAUCAGGUGAAAUAAAAUGUGCCAAAACUCCCAACCUGACAACUAUGAAAUACAUCCUCCUACAACUCGAAGUGUGACCCAAGCCUCUCUGAUACCACUGGGCAGACCAGAUGGUGAGGCAGAGCCCUUCUACGAGACAUGAACGUCACGGAAACAGCCAGUAAAUUCAGUGGAGAGUUAGAUCAGUACUUGCCUGAACUGGAGUUUUUCUGGAAACAGCUCAGAAAAAGAUUAAUCUGAUUCUCAGGAAGUCAGGAAGACAUGCUGUCCCUAAGGAGAAGAUGUCACAUGCUGCAGCGCUUUCUCUGCCCUCUCAGAGGCCCCGGGAGCCUCACCAGCAGUCACAGGGAAGACUGCAUUCUCAAAUGUUUUCCCAGCAUUGUGAAGACUUAUCGGUGCUCGAAUUGUGUACCACUUAAACCAGGAUUUUGUUACGUAGAGCUUCCCAGUCUGGUGUUACCAAUGGAAAUAAAACCCUCAUCUCACCCUCUCUUCUCUGCUCUGCAUAUCAAACCCAAAAAAAGGCCUGGGAAAAGACUACUCUUUGGAAGACCUGAUCUUUUGAAGAUACUGUGGGGAACACUGUGGGGAUGUUGUGUGCCAGAGACUGAGAUUCUGCAGACCAUUACCUCAAGCCUGGGAGAAAGACAGUGAUCCAGAAUGUCCAGACCAGGCAGAGUGGUACCACACUGUUAUUGCUGUAGCUGCAGGGCAUGCCCAGGUCUUUGAAAAGACCCAGCAGGGAAUGGUCCCACCUGGAGACAACACAGCAGGCAGACACUCCACCAAAGAGCGCCUUCCUCCUUUUUGCCAGAGCCUGGGCAUCCUGUUACAGAGCCUACCCUCAGCAAACCCUGAGCAUGACUUCCUUGCCCUUGUCACAGCCUGCUCCCAUCACCACCACCCUAAUUUGAUUUAAAAAUCCCCAGCAGACAUGGGCACACACAGACAAUGAGGGAGAAGUCAUGGCACUGCUCAUGCCAAGCCAGACAUGCACUGGAACACCGGACUCCUUUUCUGCCUUCUGAAAGAGCUGUACAACAGGCAGACCCAGGAUGCUUCUGGAGGCAAGGGGUGCAAGUGGUGCCACAACACACCAAGUUCCUGCUCAGAUGGAGCCUUUCAUUUUAACUGAUGCAGUCUCAAAAAUAUUCCAUUUUCUGAGAAACUUCCAUAAUGUCCUUUCUUGGAGGAACACAGUAAUUAGUCCACAUAAAGCAGAGCUGUCCGACUGGUGCCCACGAACAGAAGCAUCAGCUCUAAUGAACCACGUUAUUUUUUCAGCUCUAUUACGUUCUGCAUGCCUGUUACUGGCAUCACGUGUUUAAGUGAUUCAAAUUUAAAGACUUUUAAGCUAUUAUAGGGAACUGGAGUCUGACCACUCUUGUAAUAUCUGAUUCACAGUUAGCAAUACAUUCUGUUUUUCCUGGAUCCCAUUCUCACCCUGGGAAAACACCAGGAACAGAUGGUUUACUAUCCAAAUUUUAUAAUGGUGGUUCAAAGAGGGCUAGGCACCCCUGCAUUCUGCAAACAUGAUCAUCUCCCACUAGCCACAGCCAACUGUGUCAAUUAGGUUAGCAGUAAGUAUGGGGAGAAAAGCCUAAGGCAGUACAGUUCUAUGAACAUACUGUGCAACAUUGUCUUGCACAGUAUUUAAGAUUACAGCUAGAGAGCUGACACAGAUGAGACUUCCAUGUCUAGAGAAGAGACUUUAACAUUCGUGCUGGGUUAUUCAUCAGUACCACAGGCUAGCAAAAUAAAUCUCUAGUGUCAUUUUACCUUGCAGGUGUGGAAGGCUCUUACAGCAGUUUUUGGUGAGGAGUACUUUAUGUGGAGUGCAUUUUUUUGUUGAUGCUGAUCCUUUAAAAGAGAGGCAAAAGUAAUGGGAAGGUUUUACCUGCUUAAUGGUCUUUGGGCAACUGAAAAGGUACCUUUGGACACCUUGCUUUUGUCCAGUGAAAGUUAAACAUUAUAUAUCUGCUCUUUCUUUCGAGCCAGACAGUGUGAGAGAGAUUCUAGUCAAGAUUUGCAAAGCUCAAAUUGAUACAGAAAAUUAAGACCCCAUCUUCUAUAAUUACACCUGAAGUGCAAAUCAACAAGAAG